rnacentral:rRNA from 1 species
CAGCCGCCGCGGUAAUACCGGCGGCCCGAGUGGCGGUCACUAUUAUUGGGCUUAAAGCGUCCGUAGCCGGGGUGGGAAGGCCUCCGGGAAAUCUGGCCGCUUAACGGUCAGAAUGCCGGAGGAUACUCCCAGCCUAGGGAGCGGGAGAGGCCGAGGGGAUUCCCGGAGUAGGGGUGAAAACCUAUAAUCCCGGGAGGACCACCUGUGGCGAAGGCGCUCGGCUGGAACGCGUCCGACGGUGAGGGACGAAGGCCAGGGGAGCAAACCGGAUUAGAUACCCGGGUAGUCCUGGCUGUAAACGAUGCGGACUUUGUGUCGGACAAGCUAUGAGCUUGUCCGGUGCCGGAGGGAAACCGUUAAGUCCGCCGCCUGGGGAGUACGGCCGCAAGGCUGAAACUUAAAGGAAUUGGCGGG